AUCUUGCGCAAUGGGCGAAAGCCUGACGCAGCGACGCCGCGUGAGCGAUGAAGGCCUUCGGGUUGUAAAGCUCUGUGGGGAGGGACGAAUAAGGGCUGGCUAAUAUCCGGCCCGAUGACGAUACCUCCUUAGCAAGCACCGGCUAACUCUGUGCAAGCGGCCGCGGUAAGACAGAGGGUGCGAACGUUGUUCGGAAUUACUGGGCGUAAAGCGCGUGUAGGCGGCCAUGCAAGUCGGGCGUGAAAGCCCACGGCUCAACCGUGGAAGUGCACUCGAAACUGCGUGGCUAGAGUCCUGGAGAGGAAGGUGGAAUGCUUGGUGUAGAGGUGAAAUUCGUAGAUAUCAAGCGGAACACCGGUGGCGAAGGCGGCCUUCUGGACAGUGACUGACGCUGAGACGCGAAAGCGUGGGGAGCAAACAGG
rnacentral:rRNA from 1 species